rnacentral:misc_RNA from 1 species
GUAGGUGAACCUGCGGAAGGAUCAUUAAUGAAUCGCUCGAAGCGGGGGUUGCUGCUGGUCCCGUGAGGGACAUCGUGCGCCGCCCCUAUCUUCUGUUUCAUUCAUCUACCCCUAUCUGUGCACCCUAUGUGGGCUGAGAUAUCUCAGCUCUCGCUUUCUAUACACACGCAUGUAAAUCUUCAAUGAAUGAAUCAUUCGAGUUUUCGCUCGAUAUAAUCUAAUACAACUUUCAACAACGGAUCUCUUGGCU